UACGUAGGUGGCAAGCGUUAUCCGGAAUUACUGGGCGUAAAGCGCACGCAGGCGGCCGUUUAAGUUUGACGUGAAAGCUCCUGGCUUAACCGGGAGAGGUCGUUGAAGACUGGACGGCUUGAGACGAGGAGAGGGGUGCGGAAUUCCCGGUGUAGUGGUGGAAUGCGUAGAUAUCGGGAGGAACACCAGUGGCGAAAGCGGCACCCUGGCCUCGGUCUGACGCUCAUGUGCGAAGGCGUGGGGAGCGAACGGGAUUAGAAACCCGAGUAGUCC
rnacentral:rRNA from 1 species